GACGAACGCUGGCGGCGUGCUUAACACAUGCAAGUCGAACGGAAAGGCCCUGCUUUUGUGGGGUGCUCGAGUGGCGAACGGGUGAGUAACACGUGAGUAACCUGCCCUUGACUUUGGGAUAACUUCAGGAAACUGGGGCUAAUACCGGAUAGGAGCUCCUGCUGCAUGGUGGGGGUUGGAAAGUUUCGGCGGUUGGGGAUGGACUCGCGGCUUAUCAGCUUGUUGGUGGGGUAGUGGCUUACCAAGGCUUUGACGGGUAGCCGGCCUGAGAGGGUGACCGGCCACAUUGGGACUGAGAUACGGCCCAGACUCCUACGGGAGGCAGCAGUGGGGAAUAUUGCACAAUGGGCGGAAGCCUGAUGCAGCAACGCCGCGUGCGGGAUGAAGGCCUUCGGGUUGUAACCCGCUUUCGCCUGUGACGAAGCGUGAGUGACGGUAAUGGGUAAAGAAGCACCGGCUAACUACGUG
rnacentral:rRNA from 1 species